rnacentral:rRNA from 1 species
UACGUAGGGUGCGAGCGUUAAUCGGAAUUACUGGGCGUAAAGCGUGCGCAGGCGGUUUUGUAAGACAGCUGUGAAGUCCCCGGGCUUAACCUGGGAACUGCGGUUGUGACUGCAAGACUGGAGUGUGGCAGAGGGGGGUGGAAUUCCACGUGUAGCAGUGAAAUGCGUAGAGAUGUGGAGGAACACCGAUGGCGAAGGCAGCCCCCUGGGUUAACACUGACGCUCAUGCACGAAAGCGUGGGGAGCAAACAGG